UGUGGGAGCGAGCUUGCUCGCGAUGACGGACUGGCAUUCACGGUUGCAUUGACUGACCUAUCGCUAUCGCGAGCAAGCUCGCUCCCACA
rnacentral:antisense_RNA from 1 species